AUUGAACGCUGGCGGCAGGCCUAACACAUGCAAGUCGAACGAGUGGCGCACGGGUGAGUUAUGUCUGGGAAACUGCCUGAUGGAGGGGGAUCACUACUGGAAACGGUCGAUAAUACCGCAUACCAUCGGAUGUGCCCAGAUGGGAUUAGCUAGUGGGUGGGGUAAAGGCUCACCUAGGCGACGAUCCCUAGCUGGUCUGAGAGGAUGAACAGCCACACUGGAACUGAGACACGGUCCAGACUCCUACGGGAGGCAGCAGUGGGGAAUAUUGCACAAUGGGCGCAAGCCUGAUGCAGCCAUGCCGCGUGUAUGAAGAAGGCCUUAGGGUUGUAAAGUACUUUCAGCGGGGAGGCGUUACCCGCAGAAGAAGCACCGGCUAACUCCGUGCCAGCAGCCGCGGUAAUAC
rnacentral:rRNA from 1 species